GAUAAGGGAGAAAGGUGUGGUAGAGUCCGUCUCCUCCCAUUUCCUACAAAAUCCUUCUACAGUUGACUCCGCUCUUACUUUUGUUUACAGAGGAGCUGACGUUUCAUCUGGGCCUGAAGAAUGAGUAAAUUUCCAGGUGGGAAAAGGUCAUUGUGAUAUUGGAGAGAUAUGUCUUCCAUCCUGAGAUUUUCAGCCGGUGUAGACUGUAACAAGCAUGUGAUGAGCCAGAAGCAAAGUAAAAGGACUAAGGACAUCUUGCGAUUUGGGACUGGUCAUUCCUGCUGCUCAGAACCAGCCCACUCCACGCAGAGAUCACCUGGGAGAACCCAGACUCCUUCCAGUCCUUCCCCGCCGGCUGCAGCUCUUCCUUCUCACUGUAGGCUGGGAACCAGGAUGCCUGCCUUCCUAGGUAUGGACGAGACCCCAACGCGAGCUGCUGGCCUGAGUCCAAUGGGACAGCCCUGCAGGAGUUCGUGAUCCUGGGCUUCUCCGUGUGGCCCCCGGGGCUCCGCGUGCUGCUCUUCGUCCUCUUCUUGCCGCUCUACCUGGUCACCCUGGCGGGGAACCUACUGAUCCUGGGCCUGGCCCUGGUGGACCCCGCCCUGCACUCGCCAAUGUACUUCUUCCUGGGGGCGCUGUCCGCGGCGCAGGCAGCCUACACGCUGGUGCUCACGCCACGCAUGCUGGCCGGCUUCCUCCUGCCCUCCAGGGGCCAGGCUGUGGACCCCUCUACCUGCGCCGCCCAGAUGGGCCUCUUCGUGGCCCUGGGGGGCUCCGAGUGCCUGCUGCUGGCUGCCAUGGCCCUAGACCGCUACCUGGCUAUCUGCCAUCCACUCUGCUACCCUCGGCUCAUGACCAUGGACGUCUGCUGGGGCCUGCUUGGCCGCCUGCUGCGCGGGUGGCUCUGUCCUGGCCCUGGGCCUCACCGCGGUCAUCUUCCAGCUGCCCUUCUGCCGCGGCGGCCUGGUCAACCACGUCUUCUGCGACCUCCCGGCCGUGCUGGUGCUGGCCUGCGGGUGCCGGGCCCUGCAGGAGCGCGUCCUCCUGGUGGCCUGCCUGCUGCUGCUGGUGCUACCCCUGCUCCUCAUCCUGCUCUCCUACACCCGGGUGCUGGUGGUCAUCCUGGGUGUUGGGGGGGUCGCGGGCCGCCGCAAGGCCUUCAACACGGUGGCGUCCCACCUCACCGUGGCUGUGCUCCACUACGGCUGUGCCACGGCCAUGUAUGCCAGGCCCCUGAACAGCCGUUCCCUUGAGGAGGACAAGCUGGUCUCGCUCAUCUAUAUCAACGUCACCCCGCUGCUGUACCCGGCCAUCUACACGCUGCGGAACCGGGACAUGCAGGAGGCCCUGCAAUGCAUGGUCGGCCAGAGGACGCUGGGGAUGGCCACCAGGUGGAUUUUGCCUGAUGCUGGGUGCCAGGCGGUGUCUGUCCUGAGAUUUCUCCCACUGAGGGGAAUCUCACCAUUCUGGAGCCAUCUAAGCCUCCCCAACGCCUACGGGGUGUAAAUCUAAGUAUAGCACGCAAAGACCAGCAAUCCGACUCCAGCCUAGCGCUGCUGUGUCCGUUGACGUCUUGCGCUGGAUGGUUCUUUGCUGUUGGGGGAUGUCCCAUGCGUUACAAAGUGCUCGGCCGCGCUCUGAGUCUUUCUCUAUUCACUGGAUGCCGGUGGCACCCUCCACCCCACUACCCUGUGUGAUAAUCAAAAAUGUUCUUGGGCUUGGCGCAGUGGCUCAUGCCUGUAACCCCAGCACUUUGGGAGGCCAAGGCAGGAGGAUCUCGAGUCCAGGAGUUUGAGACCAGCCUGGCUAACACAGUGAAACCCCGCCUCUACAAAAAUUGUCCAGGUGUACUGCUGUGUGCCUGUAGUCCCAGCUAAGUGGGAGGCUGAGGCAGGAGGAUCACUUGAGCCCAGGGGGUGGAGGCUGCAGUGAGCUAUGAUUGCAGGACUGUACUCCAGCCUGGGUGACAGAGCAAAGCCCCAUCUCAAACAAAAAAAUACCUCCUGAAGGGCCCAUUUAGGAGCCAGGAACCUCAGAGGCAUGGUCAGUGCAGGUAACCUCUGCCUACCUAACCACCUGGCUGGUGGAUGUGCACGCCUAUCAAGGCUGAUUGGGAAGAAUUAUGUCUACUCCAGUGAGGAGCACCAAGAAGGAAGCUGACAAUGGCUUCAGGAGUCUUGGGAAAGAGGAAGAGUCUCUUCAUACCAUUUCCAUCCUUAUCUGUGGCUUCUUGAGGCUGGUGUCAGGAAACCUGAAACACAAAAGCCCUAGCCCUGGAGCAGAAGAGCCUCCCAGCCUUCUCCCCAAAUGCUACCGGUAUAUGGAACAUGAUCACCCCUAAACAGAUUUAAGACAGCUGGUUUUUUUGUGUGUAUGCAUUUUGCUUUGUUUUGUUUUUUUUUUGUUUUUUAGAUGGAGUCUCACACUAUUGCCCAGGCUGGAGCGCAAUGGUUCGAACUCAGCUUACUGCAACCUCCGCCUUCUGGGUUCAAGCGAUUCUCCUGCCUCAGCCUCCCGAGUAGCUCGGAUUAUAGGUGCCCACCACCAUGCCCAGCUAAUUUUUUGUAUUUUUAGUAGAGACGGUUUCACUAUGUUGGCCACGCUGGUCUUGAACUCCUGACCUUGUGAUCCGCCCGCCUUGGUCUCCCAAAGUGCUGGGAUUACAGGCAUGAGCCACCACACCUGGCCUACGACAGCUCUUUUUAAGGACUUUUUUAGAGCAGUUUAGGUUCACAGCACAAUUGAGAGGAAGGUACAGAGACAUCCCAUUUACCCCUGUCCCUGAACAAGAUGCACUUCACUGAGGUUAUGUUAGAUUCCAGAGAAACAUUGGUUGAGGGACUCUUCUUUCCAAAAUAUUUUUGCUUCCAAAAGCUGUUUCAAACACCACAACACCAAAACCCUGUUUUGGGUUUUUUGGUUUUUUUUUUUUUUUUUUUUUUUUGAGACAAAAUCUUGCUCUGUCAUGCAGGCUGGAGUGCAGUGGUGUGAUCUCGGCUCACUGCAACCUCUGCCUCCUGGGCUCAAGCAAUUCUCUUGCCUGAGCCUCCCAAGUAGCUGGGAUUACUAAGAUUACGGGCAUGCACCAGCAUGCUCGGCUAAUUUUUGUAUUUUUCAUAGUGAUGGGGUUUCACCCUGUUGGCCAGGCUGGUCUCAAACUCCUGACCUCAGGUGAUCCGCCCACCUCAGCCUCCCAAAGUGUUGGGUUUACAGGUGUGAGCGACCGAGCCCAGCCAGAAAUACAAACUAGUUGACUGUGAGUUAUCAGAUGUCAUGAAAUUGUUAGCUUCCAGGUUCAGGGGCUCUGUGAUACGUGACGACAAACAGAAGAAAUGGUAUGUGGUGCUGCAGUGGGCCUCCCUGGUUUAAUAAUAUGUUCAUCUUAUUCCAGUUCUGUAUCACAAAUACAGAAGGGUAUAAUUUAGCAUAGAAAGUCUCCAUAGAUCUUCUAUAUAUUAUGGUAUGUAUGUCUACAGAUUCACAAUUAUGUUCUGUUCACCAGUGCAACACAAAAAUAAAAAUUACCUGUCUGUAGCACACUCGGAAC
ensembl:lncRNA novel transcript